rnacentral:rRNA from 1 species
CCUACGGGUGGCAGCAGUGAGGAAUAUUGGUCAAUGGGCGCGAGCCUGAACCAGCCAAGUCGCGUGAGGGAUGACGGUCCUACGGAUUGUAAACCUCUUUUGCCGGGGAGCAAGCGUGCGUUCGUGAACGCACGUCGAGAGUACUCGGAGAAAAAGCAUCGGCUAACCCCGUGCCAGCAGCCGCGGUAAUACGGAGGAUGCGAGCGUUAGCCGGUUUUAUUGGGUUUAGAGGGUGGGUAGGCGGGAUGCCCAGUCAGCGGUAAAAAUGCGGUGCUCAACGCCGUCGAGCCGUUGAAACUGGCGUUCUUGAGUGGGAGAGAGGGAGGCGGAAUGCGUGGUGUAGCGGUGAAAUGCAUAGAUAUCACGCAGAACUCCGAUUGCGAAGGCAGCAUACCGGCGCCCUACUGACGCUGAGGCACGAAAGCGUGGGUAUCGAACAGGAUUAGAUACCCCGGUAGUC